UUAUAGCAAAAGUGGAAAGUUUCAAAGGUUGUGUGGUUAUUAAUUGGAAACGCUGCGUAUAAUAACGUACCAGAUAUUAAAUAAUUAUUAGAGAAUAGUGUAAUUAUCGUGAGUAGAUUAUUGGUCUAAAACAUUUUUGGUGAAUGAAAUUUCAUGGAAUGGAUUAUAUAAACACAACACAGUAGUGGUUGUAGGGCUCUUGCCUCCUGUUCUUUAACCCCCGAGCCAUAUACUCUCCCAGAAUUUAACCCUCUAUACAAUAAAUAGCGACUAUACGACCAAACAUUCAAUCUUUUAACAAACAUAAAAACAUAUAAUGGUCAAUUAUUGACAGAGGUUGGAACUUUUGGACUCAGGGCUUGCGACUCGGCUUUGAGUUGAGUCCAUAUUUUGAAGACGAGCUCAUAAUCAAAUACUCGAGACUUUACUUAGACUUCAUUGAUUGGUCUUAAAACUUGAGUUGUACUCCAAAGCUAGAAUAUUGUUUUCUCAAGAAAAGCCUUGACACUAUGGACCCCAUAUUAUAGUUAUGGACUUGUAAUGAGCUUGAAUGAAAUCGAAGGAUUUGAUGAAAAUAUCCAAGGACUUGGAUAUGACUUGAUAUUUUAAGUGGACUUGCAGUAAAUGAACUUUGUCCCCACUCUGACUAAUGCGGUGUCGUAAGUUGCCUGCAGGAGUGGAAACGACAUUUCGAAAUCUUUGGAGCCAUGGAUUAAAUAUUUAUUUAGAAAUGGUUAAACACCUACUAUAAUUCAAAUGUGGGCUCGUUAUAUUUUGAAAAGACAUAUCGGAUAACAAAUACUGCCGUUUUACAUGCCAUGGUCUAAUAAAAAGAAGCAAACUAAAUGAAAUAUAUGUAGUUCCAUCAAUAUUUGUACCCAAAACACACUCCUUAGUCUUGCAAAAUGUGAACUACGAAUUGGGCAUCUUCUCAAGCAAGACACAGUAAGUCAUUGGAAUGAUUAAAUCAAGAAAUUGACGCAUUUUAUUCCUUCAAACAACUUUAAAUAAUAAAUAUAUUUGAUGAUGA
rnacentral:lncRNA from 1 species